rnacentral:rRNA from 1 species
GCAGGGUGGCCACCCAGUAAUCAGCACAAGUUAGAAUGUGGGCAACUCGGCAGUCAUUGCGCAGGCACUUGGUGACUCUAGAUAACCUCAGGCCGAUUGCACGUCCCCGUGACGGCGACAACGCAUUCGGAUGUCUGCCCUUUCAACUUUCAAUGGUACUUUCUGCGCCUACCACGGUGACCACGGGUAACAGGGAAUCAGGGUUCGAUUCUGGAGAGGGAGCCUGAGAAACGGCUAACACAUCCAAGGAAGGCAGCAGGUGCUCAAAUUACCCACUCCAGACGCGGGGAGGUAGUGAC